rnacentral:rRNA from 1 species
UAGGGAAUUUUGCGCAAUGGGCGAAAGCCUGACGCAGCGACGCCGCGUGAGUGAAGAAGGCCUUCGGGUUGUAAAGCUCUGUCAGAUGGGACGAAUAAGUGGACUCAAAUAGGGUCUCACGAUGACGGUACCAUCAGAGGAAGCACCGGCUAACUCUGUGCCAGCAGCCGCGGUAAUACAGAGGGUGCAAGCGUUAUUCGGAAUCACUGGGCGUAAAGAGCAUGUAGGUGGCGUACCAAGUCAGGUGUGAAAUCUCGGGGCUUAACCUCGAAAUUGCAUUUGAAACUGGUACACUUGAGAAAGGGAGAGGAAUGUAGAAUUCCUGGUGUAGAGGUGAAAUUCGUAGAUAUCAGGAGGAAUACCGGAGGCGAAGGCGGCAUUCUGGCCCUUCACUGACACUGAGAUGCGAAAGCGUGGGUAGCAAACAGG